rnacentral:rRNA from 1 species
CUCUUCGGGGAUGAUUAAACCGGCGCACGGGUGAGUAACACGUGAGUGACCUGCCUUUUAGACUGGAACAACUUACCGAAAGGUGAGCUAAUGCCGGAUGAGUUAUAUAAGUGCAUGUUUAUAUAGGAAAAGUUGGGGAGACCUGACGCUGAAAGAUGGACUCGCGUCCCAUUAGCUAGUUGGUAGGGUAAUGGCCUACCAAGGCGACGAUGGGUAGCCGGCCUGAGAGGGUGGCCGGCCACACUGGGACUGAGACACGGCCCAGACUCCUACGGGAGGCAGCAGUGGGGAAUUUUGCGCAAUGCUCGUAAGAGUGACGCAGCGACGCCGCGUGAAUGACGAAGGCCUUCGGGUCGUAAAGUUCUUUCGACAGGGAAGAAAAUGCCUAUAAGUAACUGUGUAUGUAUUGACGGUACCUGUAUAAGCAGCCCCGGCUAACUCCGUGCCAGCAGCCGCGGUAAUACGGAGGGGGCGAGCGUUGUUCGGAGUGACUGGGCGUAAAGAGCACGUAGGCGGUGUUGUAAGUCAUUAGUCAAAGACUAGAGCUCAACUUUAGUAAGGCUAGUGAUACUAUAAUACUAGAGUAUCAGAGAGGAUUGCAGAAUUCCUGGUGUAGCGGUGAAAUGCGUAGAUAUCAGGAGGAAUACCGUUAGCGAAGGCGGCAAUCUGGCUGGAAACUGACGCUGAGGUGCGAAAGCGUGGGUAGCAAACAGGAUUAGAUACCCUGGUAGUCCACGCUGUAAACGAUGGAUGCUAGGUGUUGGGCUUUUAAGUUCAGUGCCGCAGCAAACGCGAUAAGCAUCCCGCCUGGG